AUUGAACGCUGGCGGCAGGCCUAACACAUGCAAGUCGAGCGGAUCGGCGGACGCGGGAGGAAGGCCUAGGAAUCUGACUGGGAGUGGGGGAGAAGGUCAGGAAACGGGCGCGAAUACCGCAUACUCUCAGAAGAGGCUAUGUCGGAUUAGCGAGUUGGUGGGGUACAGGCCUACCAAGACGACGAUCCGUAACUGUUCUGAGAGGAUGAUCAGUAACACUGGAACUGAGACACGGUCCAGAAUCCUACGGGAGGCAGCAGUGGGGAAUAUUGGACAAUGGGCGAAAGCCUGAUCCAGCCAUGCCGCGUGUGUGAAGAAGGCCUUCGGAUUGUAAAGUACUUUCAGUUGGGAGGCGUUACCAGCAGAAUAAGCACCGGCUAACUUCGUGCCAGUCGCCGCGGUAAUAC
rnacentral:rRNA from 1 species